rnacentral:rRNA from 1 species
ACUCCUACGGGAGGCAGCAGUGGGGAAGUAUUGCACAAUAGGGCGGCAAGCCUGAUGCAGCAACGCCGUGUGAGUGAAGAAGGUUUUCGGAUCGUAAACUCUGUCCUAAGGGAAGAAAAAAUAGACGGUACCUUAGGAGGAAGCCCGGCUAACUACGUGCCAGCAGCCGCGGUAAUACGUAGGGGCAAGCGUUAUCCGGAAUCACUGGGCGUAAAGGGUGCGUAGGCGGCUUAGCAAGCCAGGGUGAAAGGCAUUGGCUCAACCAAUGUAAGCCUUUGGAACUGUUAAGCUUGAGUGCAGGAGAGGUAAGUGGAAUUCCUAGUGUAGAGGUGAAAUUCGUAGAUAUUAGGAGGAACACCAGUGGCGAAGGCGACUUACUGGACUGUAACUGACGCUGAUGCACGGAAAGCGUGGGUAGCGAACAGGAUUAGAUACCCUGGUAGGUCAGUC